UGCCCAAGGAGCUCCCCCAGCCUGAUACCUGCCCCCUCUGUGUCUGAAUGCUUGUUAUUCAUCUGCUGCAGAAGACGGGAGAUGCACACAGUAGACAUGGGGAACUUAAUGUUUUAGAUGAUAUUUUGACUGAAGUACCAGAACAGGAUGAUGAACUGUAUAAUCCAGAGAGUGAACAAGAUAAAAAUGAGAAAAAAGGAUCAAAAAGAAAAAGUGAGAGAAUGGAGUCUACUGACACCAAGCGACCAAAACCUUCCAUCCAUUCAAGACAGUUGAUUUCUAAGCCACUAAGCUCAUCUGUUAGCAAUAAUAAAAGAAUAGUUAGUACAAAAGGAAAGUCGGUUACAGAAUACAAAAAUGAGGAAUAUCAAAGAUCUGAAAGGAAUAAGCGUCUAGAUGCUGAUCGAAAAAUUCGUCUGUCAAGCAGUUCCUCUAGAGAACCUUACAAGAGUCAACCAGAAAAAACUUGUCUACGGAAAAGGGAUUCUGAAAGAAGGGCCAAGUCUCCUACACCAGAUGGUUCUGAGAGAAUUGGGCUUGAAGUUGAUAGACGUGCAAGCAGAUCCAGCCAGUCUUCAAAGGAAGAGGUGAACUCUGAAGAAUAUGGCUCUGACCAUGAGACAGGAAGCAGUGGUUCUUCUGAUCAGGGCAACAACACUGAGAAUGAGGAGGAAGGAGGGGAAGAAGAUGUAGAGGAAGAUGAAGAGGUAGAUGAAGAUGCAGAAGA
rnacentral:lncRNA from 1 species